GAGGAAUAUUGGUCAAUGGACGGAAGUCUGAACCAGCCAUGCCGCGUGAAGGAUGAAGGCGUUCUGCGUUGUAAACUUCUUUUAUCUGGGAAGAAACCACAGAUUUCUAUUUGUGUUGACGGUACCAGAUGAAUAAGCACCGGCUAACUCCGUGCCAGCAGCCGCGGUAAUACGGAGGGUGCGAGCGUUAUCCGGAUUUACUGGGUUUAAAGGGUGCGUAGGCGGGCUAUUAAGUCAGAGGUGAAAUCUCCGGGCUCAACCUGGAAACUGCCGUUGAUACUAUUAGCCUUGAAUUAUGUUGAGGUUGGCGGAAUAUAACAUGUAGCGGUGAAAUGCUUAGAUAUGUUAUGGAACACCGAUUGCGAAGGCAGCUGGCUAAACAUAUAUUGACGCUGAUGCACGAAAGCGU
rnacentral:rRNA from 1 species